rnacentral:rRNA from 1 species
AAAUUAGGCAUAUAACUAAGCGGAGGAAAAGAAAUCAACAGAGAUUCCCCUAGUAACGGCGAGCGAACGGGGAAGAGCCCAUCGCCCAAUCCGACGUCCCCACGGGCGUUCCGGAAAUUUGGCGUAUAGGAGAGACGCUUCCGGGCACCGACUCCGAAUCAAGUCCCCCUGACUGGGGCUCCCACCCCGAGAGGGUGCAAGGCCCGUAGCGGCCGGAAGCCGAUCCCGGAUGUCCUCUCCUGGGAGUCGGGUUGCUUGAGAGUGCAGCCCUAAUCGGGUGGUAAACUCCAUCUAAGGCUAAAUACGACCUCGAGACCGAUAGCGAACAAGUACCGUGAGGGAAAGUUGAAAAGGACUUUGAAGAGAGAGUUCACCAGUACGUGAAACCGCGAAGGCGCAGGCGGUCCGCAGCGAGUAGUUCGGUCACCCACUCGACCCGUCUUGAAACACGGACCAAGGA